rnacentral:rRNA from 1 species
UACAGAGGGUGCGAGCGUUUAAUCGGAAUUACUGGGCGUAAAGCGCGCGUAGGCGGCUUUGCAAGUCGGGUGUGAAAUCCCCAGGCUUAACCUGGGAACUGCAUUCGAGACUGCAUUGCUAGAGUAUGGGAGAGGGAAGUGGAAUUUCAGGUGUAGCGGUGAAAUGCGUAGAUAUCUGAAGGAACAUCAGUGGCGAAAGCGACUUCCUGGACCAAUACUGACGCUCAUGUGCGAAAAGCGUGGGGGAGCAAACAGG